UAGGGAAUCUUCGGCAAUGGACGACAGUCUGACCGAGCAACGCCGCGUGAGUGAAGAAGGUUUUCGGCUCGUAAAACUCUGUUGUUAGAGAAGAACAAGGACGUUAGUAACUGAACGUCCCCUGACGGUAUCUAACCAGAAAGCCACGGCUAACUACGUGCCAGCAGCCGCGGUAAUACGUAGGUGGCAAGCGUUGUCCGGAUUUAUUAGGCGUAAAGCGAGCGCAGGCGGUUUCUUAAGUCUGAUGUGAAAGCCCCGGCUCAACCGGGGAGGGUCAUUGGAAACUGGGAGACUUGAGUGCAGAAGAGGAGAGUGGAAUUCCAUGUGUGGCGGUGAAAUGCGUAGAUAUAUGGAGGAACACCAGUGGCGAAGGCGGCUCUCUGGUCUGUAACUGACGCUGAGGCUCGAAAGCGUGGGGAGCAAACAGG
rnacentral:rRNA from 1 species